GGAUUCCCCUAGUAACUGCGAGUGAAGCGGGAAAAGCUCAAAUUUAAAAUCUGGCGGUCUUUGGCCGUCCGAGUUGUAGUCUGGAGAAGUGCUUUCCGCGCUGGACCGUGUAUAAGUCUCUUGGAACAGAGCGUCAUAGAGGGUGAGAAUCCCGUCUUUGACACGGACUACCAGUGCUUUGUGAUGCGCUCUCAAAGAGUCGAGUUGUUUGGGAAUGCAGCUCAAAAUGGGUGGUGAAUUCCAUCUAAAGCUAAAUAUUGGCGAGAGACCGAUAGCGAACAAGUACCGUGAGGGAAAGAUGAAAAGCACUUUGGAAAGAGAGUUAAACAGUACGUGAAAUUGCUGAAAGGGAAACGCUUGAAGUCAGUCGCGUCUGCCGGAACUCAGCCUUCCUCUUGGUUGGUGCACUUUCCGGUAGACGGGUCAGCAUCGAUUUUGACCGUCGGAAAAGGGCUGGGGAAAUGUGGCACCCUUCGGGGUGUGUUAUUAGUCUUCAGUCGCAUACGGCGGUCGGGAUCGAGGAACGCAGCGCGCCGCAAGGCAGGGGUUCGCCCACUUACGCGCUAAGGAUGCUGGCAUAAUGGCUUUAAACGACCCGUCUUGAAACACGGACCAAGGAGUCUAACAAACCUGCGAGUGUUUGGGUGGAAAACCCGAGCGCGUAAUGAAAGUGAAAG
rnacentral:rRNA from 1 species